CCUACGGGUGGCUGCAGUGGGGGAUAUUGCACAAUGGGGGGAACCCUGAUGCAGCGACGCCGCGUGGGUGAAGGAGAGUUUCGGCGCGUAAAGCCCUAUCGACAGGGAAGAGCAGAAGACGGUACCUGUCGAAUAAGCCACGGCUAACUACGUGCCAGCAGCCGCGGUAAUACGUAGGUGGCAAGCGUUGGCCGGAUUUACUGGGUGUAAAGGGCGGGUAGCCGGGCUGACAAGUCAGAUGUGAAAUCCGGGGGCUCAACCCCCGAACUGCCUUUGAAACUGUUGGUCUUGAGUAUCGGUGAGGCAGGCGGCAUUCCUAGUGUAGCGGUUAAAUGCGUAGAUAUUAGGAGGCACACCAGUGGCGCAGGCGGCCUGCUGGACGACAACUGACGGUGAGGCGCGAAAGCGUGGGGAGCAAACAGGCUUAGAUACCCGGGUAGUC
rnacentral:rRNA from 1 species